CCUACGGGAGGCAGCAGUAGGGAAUUUUCGGCAAUGGGGGAAACCCUGACCGAGCAACGCCGCGUGAAGGAAGAAGGUUUUCGGAUUGUAAACUUCUGUUAUAAAGGAAGAACGGCGGCUACAGGAAAUGGUAGCCGAGUGACGGUACUUUAUUAGAAAGCCACGGCUAACUACGUGCCAGCAGCCGCGGUAAU
rnacentral:rRNA from 2 species